AUGAACGCUAGCUACAGGCUUAACACAUGCAAGUCGAGGGGCAGCAUGAACUUAGCUUGCUAAGUUUGAUGGCGACCGGCGCACGGGUGAGUAACACGUAUCCAACCUGCCGAUGACUCGGGGAUAGCCUUUCGAAAGAAAGAUUAAUACCCGAUGGCAUAGUUCUUCCGCAUGGUAGAACUAUUAAAGAAUUUCGGUCAUCGAUGGGGAUGCGUUCCAUUAGGUUGUUGGCGGGGUAACGGCCCACCAAGCCUUCGAUGGAUAGGGGUUCUGAGAGGAAGGUCCCCCACAUUGGAACUGAGACACGGUCCAAACUCCUACGGGAGGCAGCAGUGAGGAAUAUUGGUCAAUGGACGAGAGUCUGAACCAGCCAAGUAGCGUGAAGGAUGACUGCCCUAUGGGUUGUAAACUUCUUUUAUACGGGAAUAAAGUGAGGCACGUGUGCCUUUUUGUAUGUACCGUAUGAAUAAGGAUCGGCUAACUCCGUGCCAGCAGCCGCGGUAAUACGGAGGAUCCGAGCGUUAUCCGGAUUUAUUGGGUUUAAAGGGAGCGUAGGCGGACGCUUAAGUCAGUUGUGAAAGUUUGCGGCUCAACCGUAAAAUUGCAGUUGAUACUGGGUGUCUUGAGUACAGUAGAGGCAGGCGGAAUUCGUGGUGUAGCGGUGAAAUGCUUAGAUAUCACGAAGAACUCCGAUUGCGAAGGCAGCUUGCUGGACUGUAACUGACGCUGAUGCUCGAAAGUGUGGGUAUCAAACAGGAUUAGAUACCCUGGUAGUCCACACAGUAAACGAUGAAUACUCGCUGUUUGCGAUAUACAGUAAGCGGCCAAGCGAAAGCGUUAAGUAUUCCACCUGGGGAGUACGCCGGCAACGGUGAAACUCAAAGGAAUUGACGGGGGCCCGCACAAGCGGUGGAUUAUGUGGUUUAAUUCGAAGCAACGCGAAGAACCUUACCAGGGUUUGACAUCCUGCUAACGAAGUAGAGAUACAUUAGGUGCCCUUCGGGGAAAGCAGAGACAGGUGGUGCAUGGUUGUCGUCAGCUCGUGCCGUGAGGUGUCGGCUUAAGUGCCAUAACGAGCGCAACCCUUAUCGAUAGUUACCAUCAGGUUAUGCUGGGGACUCUGUCGAGACUGCCGUCGUAAGAUGUGAGGAAGGUGGGGAUGACGUCAAAUCAGCACGGCCCUUACGUCCGGGGCUACACACGUGUUACAAUGGGGGGUACAGAAGGCAGCUACACGGCGACGUGAUGCUAAUCCCUAAAGCCUCUCUCAGUUCGGAUUGGAGUCUGCAACCCGACUCCAUGAAGCUGGAUUCGCUAGUAAUCGCGCAUCAGCCACGGCGCGGUGAAUACGUUCCCGGGCCUUGUACACACCGCCCGUCAAGCCAUGAAAGCCGGGGGUACCUGAAGUGCGUAACCGCAAGGAGCGCCCUAGGGUAAAACUGGUGAUUGGGGCU
rnacentral:rRNA from 1 species